CACACACACACACACACACAGACUUACACACACAUGGGGAAAAGGAAAGAGGAGAGACCUCAAUCCUGCACCAGUAUUUGAGCCUCUAGAUUGAAGGAUACUUGGAUAGUGACACCUUCUUGUUCAAAGCCUGCAACAUUUCUUGCAUGCUCAAUGCCCUAAUUGAAGACCCAAGUUUGCAAUCAACAGUCAAGUCAAUGAAGAUCAUGAAUGACAAAACAGAUUAGGCAGACAAAGAAAAAGAAAUCACUAAAAAUCCACACAAAUGCAUCUCAAAGGAAAAGGAUAUUGUAUAGCACUGAGCUAUAACUAGCAUAGCUGGUUAAAUAUAUAAAUACUUUUAUUGGUUGGGUGGGAUGGAGAGAUGAAAUAGGUGACGAGGUGCCUGUACACUUGAAUUCAAAGAUGAAAAUAACCUCUUCCCACAAAGCACAUUCACAGGAACAAAGUUGCAUUUCAAUGCCUAUUGCCUACAAGUUUGAAUUGACUAUCGUAAACCGCCAUGACCAUAUUAGCAAGCAACACAUGGUCCAUUUCAGUAAAUCAGGAUCACAUGAUGUAAAUAGCAAAGAUCAUAAGAAAUUGUGAUACUGAAUUUCGAUUACUAAGUCAUCAAAGAUUAUAAUACAAUGCUUCUCAAAUUGCAAAGAAAUUUUCAAAAGGGCAGAAUUCACCGUUGAAUAUAAGCAAAAGUGAUUAGUAAAUAUGCAAUUUUCAGUUGAUAAUAGUAACAAACAUUAAAGUCAUGAAAAGCAGCAUAAACAUUUGGAAGAAAAUUCCUAAUACCAUUAAUCUCCCAGCAUUCGUAACUGCAAGUGUUGCUUCAGUGGGCUCUGCAGUCAAAAUUGGUUUCUCCAAUGGAGCAGCAUUUUUCACAAAAGGGUGCUCCAACAGUUGAGCAGCUGUAGGGCGAUGUCAUGAGUUUCGUUGCAAGCACUGCCUCACAAAGUCCUUCCCAUCAUCUGACAUAUUAUCAGGAAUUGCAGGAAGCUACUUGCCGUUUCCAAUCUUAAACAU
rnacentral:misc_RNA from 1 species